CACCAGUGAAAGAGGGGAAGUUGCUACUGUGAUGAAUUCUGCCAUGUGGUACCAGACUGCUGCCCAGACCACAGUGUCCUCUGCAACCCUGGUCAAAGGUGCCUACAUGUUCCUUCUAGCUUUGUUUCCCUGAUGUUCCUUGCCACCUGCUACUCCUCUCUGAGCUACUUUUCCAGGUUCCACAGGGAGAGGUUCAGCUGUCCAUGGUAGACAUGAGGGUAGAGAAUGAGAUGGUUGGGUUCCACUUACCUUUCUAUCAUCUUGCAGUAUGGAUGUCUCUUGACUGGUACCAUGUAGACUUUUGAGGGCAGACAGGAGUCUGCAGAGAGAUACUGGGGAUAUUGAGCAGCAGCAAUGGGGUUGGGAGGCAGAAAUGAGGACAGGAACAUUUACCUUGUGUUUCUCUCAGCUUCUCAGAUGACCAAGAUGGUGCUGCCGAUGGUGUUGAGGACGGAGAACCCACCAAGCCCCGUUAGGAGCCACCUAGACUGGAUGCAGAGCACAGUUCAGCGACUUCUCCAAACCAGCCUCCCAGGAAUGCUGUUCUCUAUGGCCGUGAGGGGAAUCAAGAAGAGAGCCUGACUCCUCUCCUGAGGUCCCUUCCACACCCUGAGCCAGCAGGAUCCACGGAGCAGAGGUCAUCUGCCCGCAACUUGGCCCACUGAGGCCAGCAUGGCUGGGCCCAGGAUGCUUGUCUCUCAGCUCCCAUCCUGUGUGCUUCCACAUUGGUUU
rnacentral:lncRNA from 1 species